rnacentral:rRNA from 1 species
AACGAACGCUGGCGGCAUGCCUAACACAUGCAAGUCGAACGAGCCCUUCGGGUCUAGUGGCGCACGGGUGCGUAACGCGUGGGAACCUGCCCUUAGGUUCGGAAUAACUCCCCGAAAGGGGUGCUAAUACCGGAUAAUGUCUUCGGACCAAAGAUUUAUCGCCUUUGGAUGGGCCCGCGUUGGAUUAGCUAGUUGGUAGGGUAAAAGCCUACCAAGGCGACGAUCCAUAGCUGGUCUGAGAGGAUGAUCAGCCACACUGGGACUGAGACACGGCCCAGACUCCUACGGGAGGCAGCAGUGGGGAAUAUUGGACAAUGGGCGAAAGCCUGAUCCAGCAAUGGCGCGGGAGUGAUGAAGGCCUUAGGGUUGUAAAGCUCUUUUACCCGGGAUGAUAAUGACAGUACCGGGAGAAUAAGCUCCGGCUAACUCCGUG